ensembl:lncRNA
AAAAAAAAAAAGUGUCUAUAAAAUAUGGCUAAAUAUUUAGCUUUUAAUGGUGCACAUUUUACCAUUUUAACCACAAAUCACUGGUCAGGAAAUUAGCAAGAAUUGCACAAAUACUGCAGAUAAAGGGACAGAUGCAGAUAUGGGAUAGCCUUUGCCUGUUUUCUUGCACAAUACUUUUUACAGGAAGAAGAGUUAAUGUUAUUCCAUUGAAAGUAGUUGAAAAAUGUCUCCCACUUAGUUGGAGUUUAAAUAUUCUUUAUAGUGUUCAAAUCUGGACUCUGACCAGGACAAAACAUGAGUCUGGUGGACUUGUCUUUGCAGUGUGGGCAGGAUAAUUUUCUUGUUGAAAAAUAACAUCUGAUCGUUCCUCUUUAGAUAACAACUUUUCAGUUGUGGCAAGCAAGCCAUUCUGCAUUAUCCUCUUAUACUCCAUACCAUUAUUUGACUUUUCACAGUGAAGCAGCUCACCAGUACCAGCAUCUUCCUCCAUGCUUCACUGUGGUAGAAAUGUGUUCCUUGUUGUAUUUCUCACCAGAUCUUCAAAGGUACCGGUCUACUGAAUAACCAUGCAAGUCAUGUUUUAACGUGAUUCAUCACUUCGCACAACUCUGCUGAACCACUCUGAAUCAAACUUCUCAUAUUCUGACAAAAACCUUAUUUUAUCUUUGAUGUUCUUUUUAGGGAGUGCAUUUGCUUAAUUCUUGCUAAUUUCCUUACAAGUAAUUUGUGCCAUUCAGUAAUUUGUGCUUUUUAAUGCCAUUUUAAACUAUCUGGGCUUGACCUAUUGUGUGUGUUUAGCUAGCUAGCCCAGGAGUGUACUGUUACUGUAUAUGCAGUCUGUAAGCCUUAAAAACUUGGUUGGACUUCAGUGUACUGACCUGAAAUAAACAGCUUGUCAUCAUCCUCAAUUGCAGGCAUUGUAUUAUCCAUGUUGAAUCCUUGUGGCAGAGUGAUCUCUCUCUUUGUUACCAUGCCACUGCGUGGUUGUGGGAUUGGACGUGCCAUUGACUUUGGUGACUGCCUUGAUCUUCCUAGUAUCACCUCUUCAGCCAAAACUUCCUCCUGAGCCUUUUGCUCAUCCUCUUCUUGCAUAUAACUGGUCAUGUCUUUGUUUUCUCUGACUGUAUUCUCACUGUAUUGGUUCUCUUCCACUAGCGUUUCGUCCUCUUUACCUGAUUUGUUUUCUUUGACUUCAAUAUCACUGUACUGGUUCUCUUCCACUAGCGUUUUGUCCUCUAUAACUGAGUCUUUUAGUUUUCCUUCCUUUUCUUCUAAGUCUGUCUCUUUGGCAAAGGUGAUCCUGGUGAUAGUUCUCACUAAUGACUGAGAGCUUUCUUCCUUUGGAUAGAUGGUGUACUCCAUGGAUGCUUGAUCAUUUGUGGAUGAGGGGGACAGAGGAGAUGGGCAAAAUACCUGCAAGUGGUUCUGUGGCACUUCUGUUAUCUCAGUAUUAACGGUCUCCCUCCUGUCUCCCGCACCUACACUAAGAGUCAAUUCCUCAUCCUCGGUCAGUGGAAGCGACAAACAUAAGUUACUUGGAGGAAACUCUGGCAGCUCCAGCACUGAGCAGACUCUCUGGCUGUGCUUUUCAGCACUAGGUAAAUCUUCUCCAGACUCGGGAUCCUCUCCAAGCCCUACCUCUGGCAUAUCUCCAUGACUUUCCAUAGAUCUUUCUGGCACUUCCUCACACUCUCUACUGACAUUCUGUUUCUCCUCAUUUAAGCUCAUCUCUUUGGUUUGUAUUGCCGAUUCUGCAGCAUCUGUGGUUUCCAAAUUUCUUUCUACCGGUUUGUCAUCAAUGUGGUCAACAACCAAGGCUUCAGCUGGCACUGCAAUCCCGAGUAUUCUGGCAGCCCGUUGUUCAAUGGAUUCAUUUUCAGGAAUGCCUUUGGCACACUGGACUUGGUAAAGUUUACUAAGGUCUUCGGUCUGCAUACUGUUUGCCUUCUCUUGACUCAAAAGAGUCUCAAGAUGUUCAUCUGCCAAGGUCUUUUCAUUACUCCAGCUUAAAUAAUCUGAAUAAAAACUGUCAUCAUUAUCCUCAUAAUUAGCCUUAAACCUACAAUGAAGACUCUUGAUCACAUUGAUACAAGAGGACCUCCCCGAUCUAGUAACGUCUGUGUUUCCUCUCCCAGCUUCCUUCUUGUUGAGGGCUUUGGAGUUAAAGGCAUUAUUAUUGUUCAAGCUUUGAGUACAUUCAGCAAACUCAGGGCUGUGCCUGCUCAAAUCUCCACUACUGUCUGAUGAUGUAAUCUGCAAAGUCUCACACAUUUCUGAGUUGUCUGAAGGACUGGUUAACAUAGGUGACUCAGGACUCAAGCAUGUAGGGGAUCCAGAGGUCACAGUGUCUGGAAUGGCAGUGUAUACUGUUAAACCAACAUCCUUAAGCAAGCACUCCUUCGGCACUGGGAUAUCCUGCCGAUGUAUUGCUGAAUUAGUGCCCCCCCUCUGCAUAAUCUCAAAGUUGACAUAAUUAUCAGUUUUGGUGACAGGUAUCUCUUGCAUCUGGCUGUCCAAGUUCACCUUUCCCUUGGACAAGGAACUUUUUAUACCUUUGUAUUCUGGAAGGCAUCUGUUCCCUAAAUCAGAUAUUACAUUUAAGUUAUUGCUUUUCAUUUGCAUCUCUGUGACCUGCACUAUAUGUGACUGCUGGUCAGUUUCCUUCUUCACGUGAAGUGGGGUGGUUUCCUGUCUUGUAUAAUUGACUUCUCUGUUUGUGUCACUCAGCUCCAGAAAACUGUUUAAUGCCUCAUCCAACUCCACUAUAUUCUGAUCAACAUUUGGAUACUUCCCAGUAUGAUCCUGUAUCUCCUUAUUAAAAGACUCAAGCUCCCCAAUGGCAUCCCAUUUGCGUCUGUUCACUGGCUUUAGCAAGAACUGUCCAAAAACUUCUUCACAAUCUGCUGUUUCAUUUGUCUUUCUCAGCAAAGGCUGACGGUCUGGAGAUGAUGGAUUUGAUGCUGAUUGGUGCAGAGUCGGACUCCUUAUACUUGAGCUACUUCCAUUCCUAGUUCUGGAGAAUGCACUGUUCCUGGAAGGGUUGAGAUCCUUUUGACCUAUCAUGGGAUAUCCGUAGUUGGCACUACAGUUGGUUUCACCUUCAUUAUCAGUGAUUGCGUGAGGGGAAGAAUGGUCAUUUGUCAGAGGAUGGGUAUUUCUGGAAACCUCUGGAGAACCCGUCUGAGUUUCCUGGUUUCUGUAAUGAUCUCCAGGCCAGGAUCCUGCACAGAACAAUACAUUGUCUUGGCUUGUAUUAAGGGACAUAGUAUCUACAGUCUCUUUCCACAGAGGGGAUCUUUUAAUGGAUGGGGAGCUGCUGGACUGUAUUUGUGUUUCUUUGCGUGAUGUUUUUAAAAGGUUUUGAUCGUCAUGCUGCACCACUGUGUUUUCUGUUGAAUUAGUCACUUUUUCAUUGUUAUUUGGGUCAAAAACACUUUUGUUAGCUUGUAUACUAAUAGGGACAGAAACCAGGCAAAACAUUGUCUCUUUGAGCUUCUUCUUUGAGUUUUUCUUGUUCUCAGACACAGUUUUUGCCUCAAAUGUCUUUACUUGUGUCACUGUCUCAAUUAAACCCUGGUUUGAAUUCUGUUGCAUUGUCAUCUGAAGAGCAACCAUAUUUCCCUGGGUAGCUGGAUGCUUGUUGCAGUUUUGGUCAGGUAAUGUGGUUGAACUUUCUGUCUCCUUAAGCACUUCCUUGUGUAUACUGUCCUCAUUAAUAGAUUCACUAAUAUUGCUUUGACUUGGUUCAGUGCGGUCAAACGGUUUCUCUGUGAGAGGAAAGGCACCGUCGUUAGUCUUCUCAGAUAAGAGAUUGACCGGAAUCUCAUUUCUGAUGUUUCUGAUUUUGUCUGCAUCUGUCAACGAGUUUCCAUCUAUCCCUGCACCUGAAACAUGUCUGACACGAGGGUCAUUAAAGGGAAUGUAUUGAACAUUACUCAUCUGUUCUUCACUGUAGCCUGGAUAUGCCUGUCUCCUGCAGGGCAUACUUCUUCUUCCAUCUCUGUAAUGGUCUUGCCAAGCCAUCCCAGUCUGCCUGAUAAACCAUUCCUGCACUUCUGUCAUAGCAGAUCCCUGUAUAUAGGGGUCACCUCUAUAUUGGUGGUUACCCAUUGAGAUAGGAAAUGUUCUGUGUCCUCUAUUAACUACAGGCUGCCUCCUGUAAGAUGGAGGGGGGAUAUAACCAGGGGGCUCCAUACCAGGUCCAGCGAGUUCUUGUACAAAGUAUUCUUGCUUUGAGAAGGGCAGUGGAGUUCUGUCUCUGGGACGAGGGGCAAGCUCCCCUGUGAGUACCUCUGCGCUCCCACGCAUCUGCUGGUGCACUUCAUAAGAUGGAGGUCUGAGAGGUCGGCUGGAUCUGGGUUUUGAUAGUGGUGCAGACUGUGCACCUGAUCGGUCAGUCCACCUCUGCCUGUUCUCCCCAUCAUUAAGAUGCCGUCCAUGAGGGUCUCGUGCAUGGUGGCCAUUUAAUUUAUAGCUUCCAUAUGAUUCUUGCCCAGCAGUUGGUAUGCUGAAGUACUGGAGGCUUUCAGAUUGCAGAGCCAUUCUGGGCAGUGACUGGGACUUGUUUUUGGUUCUGUGUGGAACGGCUCCUUCUGCAGUUCGUGGCCUGCGCUCCUCAUGUGCCACCUCAUUUUCCGAUGGUUGAUGGCUCAUGCUGGUCAUUGGACGCCACUCCUCUGUUCCCAAACUUUGGUACUUCCUUUCAGCUGCAUUUCUCCACUGGUGCAAAGCCAUCUCUCUCUCCAUGGCACGUGCACUCUCUGCGCGACGUUGUCUUUCACGGUUAUGUUCCUCUGUGUUUAAGGCAGAUUCUGGUCUCUGCUGCAUGCCUUCUGGUUUGUUGGGAACACCUCCUCCACUUCUACGUGGAUCCCUGAAGUCUGCAUAAUCCAAAAGCACACUAAAGUCCUGACCUCUUCUUCGCCAGUAGGACACAUCCUGCUCAGAUCUAGGCUGAGAAUGUAUUCUUCUGUGGGUCUCAAAAAACCUGCAUUUAAAACAUACAGAUGGAAUUAAAUAGGGGUCAGGUACUUUAUG